rnacentral:tRNA from 1 species
GCCUGGCUGGCCCAGUGAGUAGAGCAUGAGAUUCUUGAUCUCAAGGUUGUAAGUUCGAGGCCUACACUGGGUG